AUGCAUCGGGUGUCUUGGAAGGAUUUGGCUACACCCAAGUGUAAUGGAGGAAUGGGUUUCAGGGACUUACAUCAGUUCAACCUAGCUAUGUUGGGUAAGUAGGGUUGGCGUUUUUUGACCAAUCCAAACUCGCUUUGUGCAAGGGUACUCAAGAUUCGCUAUUUUACAGAAUCAGAUUUAUUGCAGGCCACAGCUCCCAAGUCGGCCUCAGCUACAUGGAAGGCGAUCAUAGCGGGUCAAGAGGCUCUCUAG
rnacentral:rRNA from 1 species